AAUUCUGCCCUACAAGAGGUUAGUACCUAUUUAUAUAUAUACUUCUUUGAUUCCAUGCUAGAAACUUGAAAUAAGUGAGAAAUUGUAAAUUAAAUGAAUAAAAUUUAAGUGUAUGUAUCCCUUGAAUUUCGGCAGCCCUAAGGAAGGAAUGAUUUUGAUUGUUUUGAGGGACUUAGAGUGGACUAGAGAUGAUGUUUAAGGUAUAUAUAUACAUGGAUAAUGAAUUAGUGUGCUAACUAGGGUAUCUUGUGUGAAUUGAAAUGGGAAGCUAGGGUUUUGGGAGUGAAAAUUUGACUUGGCUUAUGAA
rnacentral:misc_RNA from 1 species